rnacentral:snRNA from 1 species
GUCCCUUCAAGGACAUCCGAUAAAAUUGGAAUGAUACAGAGAAGAUUAGUAUGACCUCUGCGCAAGAAUGACACACAAAUCAAGAAAUUGUCCAAAUUUUG